CCUACGGGAGGCAGCAGUGAGGAAUAUUGGUCAAUGGACGAGAGUCUGAACCAGCCAAGUAGCGUGAAGGAUGACUGCCCUAUGGGUUGUAAACUUCUUUUAUAUGGGAAUAAAAUGUUCCACGUGUGGGAUUUUGUAUGUACCAUAUGAAUAAGGAUCGGCUAACUCCGUGCCAGCAGCCGCGGUAAUACGGAGGAUCCGAGCGUUAUCCGGAUUUAUUGGGUUUAAAGGGAGCGUAGGUGGAUUGUUAAGUCAGUUGUGAAAGUUUGCGGCUCAACCGUAAAAUUGCAGUUGAAACUGGCAGUCUUGAGUACAGUAGAGGUGGGCGGAAUUCGUGGUGUAGCGGUGAAAUGCUUAGAUAUCACGAAGAACUCCGAUUGCGAAGGCAGUUCACUGGACUGCAACUGACACUGGGGCUCGAAAGUGUGGGUAUCAAACAGGAUUAGAUACCCGAGUAGUC
rnacentral:rRNA from 1 species